GAUAAGUGACUAUUCCUGACCAAGGUUUCUUUUUUUCAGAUGGCUAUCACUUUUCGGGGUUCUGUCUCAAACAGUCAAGAACUGGGCCUACCAGAGACCUUUCUAGCUUUCCAGAGGCACUUAAGAUCCCACCCCAAGAUGUGCCAUAUUUAAGACAGGGAGCUCUGCCUCCAGACUUCACCAAAGCUGUGUGGAACUGAGAAAGGGCCCACUCCAUAGUCAGAGGUGCUCCACAUCCUCACCAAGUGGAUGCCACGUGCCAUCUCUCUGUGUCUUCCAAGUUCCUGCUCCUCGAGCCUCAUUUGUGACAUUUCCUAGAAUUAGAAUGUUCUCUACCAUACACACUCUCCCAUGGAACUUCCUCUGGCAGGCCUAGAGGAAUGAAGAUUCUACCAAAGGAGAAGGAAAACUUGCUGACCCUAGGCUAUCCACCUGGUUCCUAAGAUUGCAGCCCCCCUUUGGAACUGAAGAUUAGGACUAGCCCUAAAAUCAAACAUAACAAUUCUAACCAAGAAGGCAACUUUAUUUAGCAUGCAUGUUUAUUUACUUACUAAAAAAAGAAGAAAGUGUCACUUCUAUCAAGUUCCUCCAGGCAACAGGAUGCUAUCUGGUUCUUCAUUAAGGUGGAGGAGACCAAGGGAGGCACAAUGAACCACAGCAGGGGAGAAGCAGCGAGAAUCUUGGUGCACAAGAAUAGGCGUUCACUUGAGAAUUUCACUGGGCACAAUAUAACCAAAUUAAGAGCAAUCCUUUCCCCUCUCAUAUAAUAUAAUCUCCUCCAGAAUUAAAAGCCAACCAUCUCAUCUUCCCUUCUUUAUUGAGCUGUAAGUGGACUGCCA